AACGUAGGAGGCAAGCGUUAUCCGGAGUACUGGGCGUAAAGCGCGUGCAGGCGGAUAGUUAAGUUACUCAUGAAAGCUCCCGGCUAAACUGGGAGAGGUUGAGUAAAACUGGCUGUCUAGAGUGGAUGAGAGGUAGGUAGAAUUCCUUGUGUAGUGGUGAAAUGCGUAGAUAUAAGGAAGAAUACCAGUGGCGAAGGCGACCUACUGGCAUCCAACUGACGCUCAGACGCGAAAGCAUGGGUAGCGAACG
rnacentral:rRNA from 1 species